GGUUGUAGCUCAGUGGUAAGAGCACUUGCCAGUGGCAGAGUGCUUGCUUAGCAUGUACAAGGUCCUGGGUUCAAUUCCCAGCACCA
rfam:Ictidomys tridecemlineatus contig090238, whole genome shotgun sequence.